rnacentral:lncRNA from 1 species
ACAUUUUUUGUGUUCUCACUGGAUGCAGAGAAAUGAAAAAUAAAGAAAAUUAGAUCAGAAGAUCUUGCAAACAAGCAAAUUGAGACAUUCAACUAAGUUUUUCUGCUUAUAUGUGCUUAAUCAUUUAUCUAGGUGUCAAUUAUUAUCUCCACGUAAAAGUAGGAAACAACCAAAGAGCAAUUUUUGACUGGCAAAGACAUCAGGUCAUUCACAUUAGCAAACAGUUAAAGAAAAAUAAUUUAGUAACACCUGGAGACCUCAACACAUAAAACCUUAAAUUCGUAUGUCAAUGCAGAACCACAAGAGUUUGUGUUUAUGGAUUUUAAGCUUCAUGAAGUAGAAGAGACAUUCUAAUGCAACCAGACAAACAAGUACAUAUGACUUGAAAAAUGGCAUUCUUGGUUAGUAUGAGAUCACGUGUUCAAAGAGCCAUCCAAAAGUGUAAGAGAUCUCAAAGUUGAAUCAGGAAAAGUGCAGCUUUUGCUUUCUACUUUUUGUAAAAGCAUCUUAGAGAAAAGUGGCAAAGAGAAGGUAACUCAAUGAUAAUCAGGGAACUGAAAAGGCACAACAAAAAAAUGAGGAUCAGGCUCAGCUACAAAUCCAACCAGAGGAAAAAGAACAUGUAAUGAGUGAACACUAUCCAAUCAUAAAAUUAAGAUGAAGCCCUUUCAAGUUGCAAAUAUCUCCUACCAUGGAUAAUUGCAUUGGUAUGCCAGUAUAAACAGGACCAAUCAAGGACCACUAUGUGCCUAGUAUCCGAGACUUUGAACCAUGUGUGACACUUUAUUGGGUCUACUCGCUACCAAACUGUCACAGGCUUAGUUGGUUUUACCUAAGUUAUGUGGCACCCUUGCAUGUCCAUCUGGAAAGCGUCAACUUCCUCGUAACACAAGGCCCCUAAGGAUCGGGUCAGUGGAAGCGUUAACUCGGGAUCCCACAAAUAAAGAUUUCAACAAACACUUAAUAGGUAAUGCAAAAUAGAAAGGACUUUGCAUGCUCUAAGCGGUCACGCAACAAAGGUCCAAGACAAUCUGUCGUGCACAGAAGUCUCUAUGAACAAAUGUCCAUAUGACAUUAUUACAGUAACCAUACGACGAACCAACCCAAGAUGCUAUCCCAAAACCCCAUCAAGUCAUGUGCCACCAAGGGCAUUCUAUGGGUGUGAGAUGGUUAAUGUUUUGAGGCCCACCUCCGCUCUUAGAAAUUCGAAUGGAGGCACCGUUUUUUGGCAGUUUUGCAUCCAAAGUAGAAACAACCAUAAAACCCAACCAAAAUGGGGCUACCAAGUCUACUACAAACCCCUACAUUCUGCCGAAGGUAUUAACAAAACAAAAAAGCAUGGGCAUUAUAUCGAACACCUUCCCUACGAACUGUGACAUUCUUCCCACUUAUUCCUUCAACGUCUUUGUUGAAGCCUUAGCAAACAUUGUAUCUUCUCGCCUUUGUUCAAUCUUCAAUCCUUUGCUUUAAUUGCAAUGCACCUCGUGACCCCCAACUACUCUCUCAAUAAUGCUACUGAGAAGUCGAGCUUUGAUCUGUUAACACUACUUUAACUCGCCAGUGACUCUGACUCUGGUAUAAGACCAAUCAAGUUGUACUAAUCCUCGUUGGUACUUACUGAUCCUUCAAAUGAAGGAAAAGACCUUACUUGUUGCGUGUCAUUCCCUCAAACAUCUUGCGUCGAUUGAACUGGAUGGAUACUUGUUGAAGCUUUAAUGAGCAUCACGUCAUAGAAUUUGAAGUUUUGAGGCCUUCCGUUGUAAAAUUUGUCAUUGAUUCCUAUUCUGCUUUGUCAUCGCCUCUAAGCACGUCUGUAUCUCCAUCGCUUUCGAGGGACAAGCUACCUUUGGUAGUACCAAUCACCAUUGGUGAUGACAAACAACUUUUGGUUGUCACUAUCUCUUUGAAGGGCCUUUGAAAGUGUGCAGAGCUCCUUUACUAGAUAAUUACGAGAAUUAUAAUACUUGGUUUUGGCUAUUCUCUCAAAAGUUAAGAAGGUAUAUGUUAUCUAACUUCGUCGGCCUCCUCGAUGGUUGUUAUUCAUGCAUCAAGCUAUGUACUAGUCUUUACCUGCUCUUUGUUCAUACUUUUGAAGCACUCGAAAUGUUGCACUCCUUGUGCUGAGUUAUCUACUACAAUUCGCCUUCUCAUUGCCAUUGAACCUUGGGAAUGCAGAAAGUAUUUCUCAAAAAGAGCAAUUUCACCUCGAUUGGAGUAAAAUUUCACCUCGGCUGGAGUAAGUAUUAUUGGUUUUGGUCGUCCCUGGCACUGUACCAACUUCAUUGAUUUCAUCGCCUAUUCCUCUGAGCAGAAAGGGUACAAAAUUGCAUGUUGCCUACUUAGUUCCUUGGUCGAGCACCACUACAUCAACACAAAAUCCCCCACUUUCGAUUAUCUUGAUGAGAAGCCCUUCGACAUUGAUCUUACGAAGUUCCUUAACCACUAUCCUUUUACCUUAUCUUGGUACUUGGAGUUUGUCACUAUAUCCUCCCAUCGACACAAAAUCCUCCCCUCCGUCCUUCCUCCUCUUCUCAUUGUUCUCCUUAUCCUCCCAUCUGUGCUCCCUCCUUUUCUUUAAUCAAAGUGGUAUACAUAUGUAUUUCGUACCAAGAGUCAAUACAUCGCUCAGUACCAAAACCAUACCCGUCCAAUCAUAAACCGAUAUCGGCACCAGACCAAGAUUUAAAGCCUUGUAAUCUGAUCUACUUAGAGUACUUCUAGUUAUAAUAUUUAACUUUGUUUGUGCGUUUCAGAUGAGUAUGACUACAGCACAAGUGAUAAGGGACCAUUUGGUCGAUCGGCCAUUGGUGCAGCCCAUAGGCUCGCGAGGAAUUGUCUGCUUUGGGCGAUGGACGUAUCCACACGGUUUUGUCCUUUCGGAACAUGUGAGCUCUAAAAGGCGCCUCUGAGGGUAAGGGAGACCUAGCGGACUUAUGAGCCCUUGGUUCUCAUACUCCUCAACCAAUGUGGGACUAAAUGGCCUUAUCAGUGCUCCCUCCCGUAGGGGAGCCAAGGGCUCAUAACCAAGGUACACGGCUCGGGAGCGAGUUUGCUCGGCCGAGGUGCAAGCCUCGGGCCCUCCUUCUAGCGCCAAUCUACUAAGGGACCAUUUGGUCGGUCGACCAUUGGUGCGGCCCGUAGGCUCGCAAGGAAUUGUCUGCUUUGGGCGAUGGGCGUAUCCGCACAGUUUUGUCUUUUCGGAACAUGUGAGCUCUAAAAGGCACCUUUGAGGGUAAGGGAGACCUGGCGGACUUAUGAACACUUGGUUCCCAUACUCCUCAACCAAUGUGGGACUAAAUGACCUUAUCAAUAAGCUAAAAUUCAACACCUUUAGAGAUCCUUACAUAUCCAUCAGAAUCUUAAUGUUGCUCUUAGAUAUGGAAGCUUAAGAUGCAACCAAAUAAUCCCUUCAGGUUCAAUAACCAAUUUAAAUCAAAAGUUUCAGUUCUAGUAUUUUCUGACUACCAAGUAUGCUUUUAGGCUAACUUGCAAGGAAUUCAAUAUGCCGUCGAUCCUAAGGUCUUUAAACCAAAGUUUGCAAUAUCAUCCAGUAUUGUAUGGGUGGUAUUUACCAGUCCAAUAGCCUAAUGGCAAGCGGACUAGGGUAAACCGGACGAUAUACGCAAUAGAGGGCAUAUACCACCCAAUUCAAGAUGGUAUAGGUCUUGUACUGGGCAUUUUUUUAAUGUUUUUUCAUAUUCUUUUCAAUCUUUUCGCAAAACUCAAUACGAACAAGUGUAUCAACACUCAGUACAUAGGUACAGACUGGUAUAAUGUUGGUCCAAGCCUUGACUUGCAUAGUAUUGAUACAUGAAAUUCUGAACCUGGCUUUGAACUAUAAGUUUCUUCAAAAGUUUAUUCAUGUUCCAAAUUCACUAAUAUACCAAUAACAUCAGCCAAAAGCAUGAAAAAGAAAAUCUUAUUUGAAUAUCACUAGACCUUAAAUUGCCUACUUUAUUGCUUGCACAUGUUUCAAUCCUGUCAACCUACUUACUAGAUUCUCCACUCUUCUCCAAAUUUCCACCAUAUCAUUUCCAUAUUUCUUUUAGCUGAUCCUUAUCGUUAUCAACAGAAGUCAUUUAUAAUAUAUUUUUCUUCAUUUCAAGCUUUUCACCACAUUUUUCCUUAAUAAAAUAAUAUUAUAACAAAAUACCAAAGUUACCAAUAUGCUUUGCAAUGAUAUUGCUAUAACAAAAUAUCCCUCCUACCCACUACCCACCCACCCCCCCCCCCCCCCAAAUAGGCACAAUGAUAGGAAACACCUUUGUAAAGAAAAUAUACUAGACAGAUCUAAAGCUAAAAUAGGAAAAAGAGAUACGAAGGUGACCAUAAUUAGGAUAGCCAUGGAAUAUAAAAAAGGUGCAACACUAAAUAUCUGCCUCUGGUAAUCAGUAGCAGAACAUGUGCAGCUUGAUAGCUGGUCAAAAGAAUAUAAAAGAUGAGCAAUUUCACAAAAAUUUCUCACCUUAAAUAGUAUGGAAACCUUUCAAAUGAAACUUGGAUAUCACCUGAAUCAAGUAUUCCAUGUUUCAAGCCAUCUUUAAAGGCUUGGCAUCUGGUAGUGGGCAAGGAAGCUGGUAAGUCUACAUCCUUGAGGAGUUCCCUUUGAUCCUCAAUCACUUUAAAUACAUUGCCAGUCAAAUCCAUCUCAGAAGAAGGUGAUCCUGCAAAUGUUCUUAUACCUGACCUUAUUUCAUAAUUAAUACUAGAAUUUUUUCCGAUGUCAUCAUCAAGAUGAGCAUGGGGACCAAUAUUAUCGUGUUGAAUGGUCUCAUUUGCACCAAGAUCAGAAGAUGUGACAGCAUCAGUAUUAUCACUUGGAACCACAGCUCCCCCAUCAUUUUCAAAAGUUUCCUUCAAUAUAUCAGAACCCUUCUCAAGGUCUGGACUGCAGUCUUCUGAUGCAUCACAAACAGAAGCCAAAACAGGCUUUUCUAGGCCUUCCUGAGCAUUCUCAGCAUUAGAUGCUGGUGGAAUAGCAGACAGAUCCUUCAUAUUAUUAGAUAGGGAUGCCAAUAUUGACGCUCCAGCAACAGCUGAAGAAUCUCCAGAUCUGGUCUCAAUUUGAAUCUCUUUGGCAGAAAAACCCUUUAAUUCUGAAAUGUCAAGUGAAGACUGCAACAUUGCUGUAGCUGAUUUUUCAUUCUUCAGUUGCUGAUAUAUCUGCCAACAGAUAAGGAAUUGCCUUCCAAGAGAAUUUAGAAAAAAGAAGAAUUUGCAAUUUGCAUCUAGAAUCAAGCAACAAGUUAUAAAAGGAUACAUAAGCAUGUUUCCCAGAUGGACUAAAUAUCACCUCGUCCCCGGCAGUGAUAACAAUAUUUGAAUUUCUCUCAAAGGUCUUGCCAUUUACUUGUACAAAUCCUUUUCUUCCUACAACUUCAAGCAAUGCACCUGAUGCACCUCCACGCUGAUGUGAUAGUAAUAAUAAAAGUGACACUUCGUGCAUAAGUCAUUUCCAAUGAACAUUUCCAUUCAAAUAAUCAAUUUAUCAAUUCAAUAAUACAUUUGCUAAGAUCAUACCUGGGUAUGUCUCAGUCUACAAAGAGUUUUGCUGACAGAUGGAUCCUUCAUGCACAAAUUACAGCUCGGGCUUUGGCCAACAGAGAAUCGAGAACCAGAGAGAAAAAUAUGAGGGUACUGGACAGAGCAAAUCAACAGGAGUUAGAUAACAGUCUAGAAUGACCAUAUGUGUCAAGCAAGAAGGCAAGCAAACUGAACCUAACAGAAGAAAAGAGAGAAAGUUCCACCACCCACAGUCUUUCAUCGAUUGUUUAAUAAUGCAUCUAAACACUCACACAGAAACUAGAUGCUGUACAAUGCCCGGAAGCUGUUCAAGUAUACUCACCUCUAAUAUUCAUGCAACAUUAUAUAUGGGUAAUGAAUAAGGGUGAAAAUAAAUUAAGUGCAGAUGUCAUAUUAUAAAAUUAUAUCCAAAUUUAUUUGUGUUCAGCAAAUACAAAUUCAGAUAUGAAUAUUAGUUGGAUACUAAAUUUUUGAACCUUGUUUGUUUAAAACAAAUAGAAAUAUAAAUUGAAUGGACAAAGAUAAGUAUUUGACUUGUAAGGCUGACAUUAAUUACAAUAUUGUGUGUGAAUCAAGUAUGUGACGAAUAAAAAAUAAGGUACAAGUCAGAUCUAUCAAUAGGAAGAUCUACAAAUGCGAUUUAUAAAAGAAUGACAAAAUGAGAACAUUGUAUACUUAAAAACAAUCAAAUAACAUGUUUCAUUAUGUUAAUCUAGUAUUUAUCAAAUAUUCAAAUAAAGGCUUCAAAUACAAGUCAAACCGGUACAUACUGACCAGCAUUUACCAAUCUGACCAAGGACCAAUAGUAGAACAUAUAGCUCAAAACUAAUGGGUUCGCAUUUUUAUUAUUUUCAGUGAUACAGGGUAUUAUAAAUUAUUCUACCAUCCUAUACACCAAUGUCAUACUAGUUUGACAAGGUGUUGAAACUGGUAUUGGACCCAGAUUUUACACCUUAGAUAAAGCAGAGCCAAAAAACAGAAGUUCCUUUUGGCCUCCAUAACAAUAAGUCAAGGGCCGGCAAGAUACCAUAGUGCUAGUACAAGUGCAAGCAAGCACAAAAGCCACUUCUAACAUCAGCACACGAGGUAAAAUUAUCCUCAAACCAGUGUAUUACAACCCAAAGCAUCUGGACAAAAGAUACUUCUUUUCAUCUAAGCUUUACGGGAACAAAUAUCUCAAACUUAAUAAGAAAUUAAACUCCAUGGAACAAUAUGCCCUAGGCUUAUUAAAAAUUCUUAAAGACUACGAACGCAAAUACCCAAUUAAAGCCAAAUAGUGAGAUUAUGAAAGUCAAAAGAACCAAGGCUAAGGUAGAGGAUAAAAGUAAAAAGAUGCAAAUCUUUUACAACUGACAGCCCUUGAGCAUAGAUUCAAUAAAAGUGCAAAAAUAUCCUAGAACUUAUAGGCACAAACACACCCUAUGAAAAAACCUCCAAAACACAACACAAAAUGCUCUAAGUUUAGCCAUUAGUAAAUGCAAAUAGAUAGAGAGAUUUUUACAUACAAAGGAUUUACAGGCAAAAUAGACCAAGAGUAAGAGGCUAAGCCCGAAAAGGAAUCUGAACCUCUAUAAGAAAGUCCUUCAAAAACUCAGAACUAGGUCUAUGUUUAGCUCCUUCAACAUAUAAAUCAGAUCUGGGUUCAACCAUUUAAACAAAGGCGAAACAAAUGUUUCCUACUCCACUUGACAAGCAACAAGUGGUACCUCUGUUGACCCAAAAUCAGGCACUAGGUUUAGCCUCUAGAUCUCUGCCAAGGUUUUUAAAUCAAUCCUCACCUUCCAAGGGCAUUACAAUAGGUUGUCUAUUCAACUAGCUCAAGAACCAAAUAGGUCAUUCUAUUUUAUUAACAGGAUCCAUCUCCAUGACCCUAAGCUAGGAAAACCAUCAUCAAGUCACUAUCUGGAAAAAUAAACUUUCUCAUUUUUAAAUCCUUUUGUUUUAAUCAGCAAACAAGAAAAGAUGAGUUUCCACUCCAAUUAAAUAAAAAAAUGGUCUUCGAAUUGUUAAACUAGAAAAUAUGAGUCCCAAACACCAUUAACUAGAUAGAUAGACUCCUAAAACUAUUAUAAACAAAAUGAGACUUUACUUGAUACAACCAAUUAAAAGAGCCUACCCCCCUGACUAUUUAUAUAUGAUAACAUGGAACAUUUUUUUAGAGUACAACCAAUUAAAAGAGCCUACCCCCCUGACUAUUUAUAUUUGAUAACAUGGAACAUUUUUUAGAGAGAAUAAAGGACCUCCGAAUCACCAAAAUCGGUAAGGUAUAACAUCUACAACAACAAUAAGUCAUGAUGUCCAACUAUUUGGGUUUAGCUGCAUAGAUCUUCACCCACCAUUGAGCUUUGUAUACGGCAAUGCCCCUCGUUAAGCUCUGAGCAAUCAGAUAUCUUUCCACUGCAUCUAUUAGUUUCUAUUUAGAUCUUCUUAACCCUCCAGAUACUACUCAUUGUGAUUGGCAAACCAUCCACAAAGAAGAUAGCAAUACAAGAUAGCACUGAUGUGCCAACUGCCAACGGUGGCUCAGAUUUCAAAUGCUUAAUUCAAAAUCAGACAAGAUAGAUACAUGUCCAUGACCAAGGCAUGGAUAGAACCUAUGAGAAAGAAAUAAAGCCAAAGUUCAUACUAUUCAACUUGAUCCUUUGGUCUCUAUUUAACGCAUAAUCCUUUUCACAAUCACUACAAGAAAUCCUAAUCUUGUUACUCAGGAGCCCCAUCCAGCCCAUAACAGGCUAGUUUUGCCCACACGGUGGCACGACGGAUGAGCAGAGAUGCCUAGAUCAUAUGCUUAUUAGCGGUUAUGUCCACCAUAUGCAAUAUGUCCACACUCAAAAACCAAAUAGGAUAAAAUGCUAGCAAGUAUGUCGGAAAAAUAGGUUUUUAUUUGCUUUGAAUUUGUCAUAGUGCCACAAAGAGAAAGAAGGGACCUUGACCAUAUGAGAAAUGCUUCGUACCAUAACUUAAAUCACAACAAGAGGCACCGAAUCAAAAGGCAGCACACAUCCAAAAGUGCACCAUCACAGCCCUGUGCCCCUCUCACCCUCAUGAUGUUCCCCCACAGCCACGUUCGUGCCAUGAAACCGUAAGCCGCAACAUGAAGCGGCGUUCAUAUGAAGGACUAACCUUUUUAACGAUUAUAUUCCAAUGCAUGUCAUUACCUUUCAGAUAUCAGAUGAAGCAUACUAUCAGCAUCAUGUCAUGUUUCUUACUGGAUAUACCUCUCAAGCUUGUAAGAAGAGGGAGAGAAGAUCAAACCAGAGCUAACAGCGAGUUAGCGGUUUGUUCCGAUGACGCGAUAGAAAAAAAAAAAUAGAUGAUGAAAUCUAUCCAAAACAUAAAGACUUGAAGACAGUAAAUCCAACCUGAGAGUGCUGUGAUAUAAGCUUCGCCCAUGCGGUCUUCUGCUUGGCUUUCACGACUCGCUUCGCUGGGACUUCCAAUUUUCUCCUCUCCACCUUAACCGCUCGCUCUUCAAUAGAAACAAAAAGAAAAGGGGGAAAACAAUUUAAAAAAAAAAAAGGAAAAGAGAUGAAUGCAAGAUCAAGAUCAGACUUUGAGCGGGCAAUUGGACCGGGGAGCCCUGCCCAGGCGCAUCAACGGGCUUCUCAUCCUGCACAUCGGCAUCACCGGCCUCCGCAGGGAGGUUGGCGGCUGGCUGAUCGUCGGCUGCCGGCGUCUCUUCCUCCUUGGGGACAGGCCGCUGCCCCUUUGACGACGAGGUGGGCUCCUCCUGAAGGUAACCAUGGAUUUCCACGAGAAGUCGUGUCAAAACCACGCAUCGGAAGAAAAGAUGCGAGCCAAGAUCCAAAAUAUAAAGCAGUGGAGGGGAGAAAGAUCGCACCUUAGGCCGCUUCGAGGCCGGUUGACACGCAGAGGAGGAGGAAGACAGGAGGCGCUUCGAGGAGGCCGAGCUCCGCCUAGUCUCGACCAUGGCUUCCUCUUUCGAGAGUCGAGAGUCGAGAGAGAGGAGAGGGAGAAGGGGAAAAGAAAGGUUGGGUCGCCCAAAUAGCAGUUUGUGUUCUUGUAAUUAUUGCAUAAAGAAAUAUGAAUUGUAGGGUUUCACUUAUCCCCUUCCAAGUAAAAAAUUUUCCCUUGUUUUUUUUUCUGAAAUGAUUACUUGAGAUCGAAGAAAAUAUAUCUUUUUUUGUCUGUCUUUCUUAUGGUACACUUUUAACUCGUGAAUUUUAAUAUAAAAAAUAAAUUUAAACAUAUAUAAUAAUAAUAAUAAUAAUAAUAAAUUGCUUUCUCACGAAAAGUUGAAAGGCCUCAUUAUGAUGAUAUGAUGAGAAGACAGCUUGAUGUUGCCUCCAUAUAGAUUCAAUCCGAGUCAUGAUUCUUAAUUCAUAUGAAACAAACAAGAAAAGAAAAACUAUCUGAUUACGAUCAUGAUUCUUUUUCUAUAUCAAAAAUAAGAAGAUAUAUAUCCUCAAAAUUGUGGAGUAUGUGAUCCUUUUGAUCGUGAAGACCGAGUGAUGGUCCGUUGACUCCGACGAGACCAUGACUUCACUCCAACACCACAGAAUGUCGCACGUCUUCUUCUGCCAAAUAAGAACACAUGAAGGUUGACUUUUGUACUCGCUAAUGAAAGGAAACGAUGUAGGAAACAUACAUUUCGGUAUAUAAAGUUAUCCGUCCAAAAAUUUCUUUGCCGACCGCUCUCCCUCACAAUUUUCCAAAUGUUGUCACAAUUUUAUUGCGACCACAAUAUUUAGAUAAUUCUAGAUAAAUUUAACCCAUUCUAGAUGAAGACUUCUACAGUGAUAAACGUGGACAAUAAAAGAUAUAUCCAUCAAGAAAUCUCGAUUGGAUUUAAUCGUAAUGACUUUUUCAAGCGAUUUUUCUUUCGUCAUUAAUCGAACCCUCUCUUGUGUUAAAAUCGAUGGACUUCCCAUGAUCAAAUACUUAUCUCGUCGAUGAAAAGGGUGGAUGUGAAUUUGUUCUCUCCUGCACACCAAGAAAACCUUAGACAUUUGGUUUAGUUGGUCAAUCUCUUCGUAGAUCUUUAUCGUUAGAGGUCUUUAAAUCCUCUAUAAAUCGUUUUCUAUUAUGCUAGAUUUAGUGAAUAAUUUUUGUUUUUGUUUUUGUUUGGAAGAUGAUGCUCUCAAGGUUUUAACAUAUGGCCCAUGAUUGAUAGGGGGAAACCCUGCAUCUAUUUUAUUUUUCUUAAAAACCUAAUUUUCAAGAAAAAUUAUGAAUUAUUUGGAUUCUAACUCCUUAAUAUUUCACUCUUUAUUUGCAGUAUUGGAACUUCAAAUUUAUUUUUAUAAUAGGAUCAUUAAUCGAUCAACCUUUGUGUCUUAACAAAUCCUUAACUUUUGAGAUGGAUCAUUUUAUUCUACUAUGUAUUGAAAUCGAUCUUUCUAAACCCUUAAAAUAGGAUAUCCGGAUUCGAAAACGUAAAGAAGAAUUUUUUUUAUAUUAUUUCAUAUGAAAAUCUUUCUUCUAUUUGCUUUACCUGUUGAAAAUUUUCCUAUGAAAAUCCUCCAACUAUGGAACCAAUAUGUGUAUAGUAAUUACCUUUUAUAAUAGGAUGGCUAAACGCCAAGUAAUGUAAAAGUAGAUGAUGCGAACGAUACUUAGUUUAUAGUCUAUGGAUUCGAGUUCAGAUAAAAAUAAUAAUUCGAUGAUCAAAAAUAAAUAUUUCUAAGCGAUUAUCACCGAAGAAUAUCACUAAUAACUCACCUACGUGUCAUUUUCAUGUACAAAUACCAAAUUUUUUUAUAUAGAUAUCAUCAGUCCCACAGUCUUAGCUAUAUUUUAUUUCAUUAAUAUGUCUUUUACUUUAUUAGCUUUAAUUUAUGAAUAAAUCUAUAAUUAUUAAAUAUAUCACUAUUUUUUAUCAUUAAAUCUAAGUUCUAAGUUCUAUGUGAAAUAUUUAAUAAAUAAUUUAUAAAAAAAAUUAUCUUUCAUUAAUCUCAUUAUCAUUAACAAGUAUUAUUUGUUCUUCAUCUUUAAUGCAUUUUACACUUUUUUUCGCUACAUUUAGCAUCAUGGUACAUAUCUUUUUCAUCAUCUUUAAUACAUAAUAUAUUAUAAAAAUUAUCAUAAGUUUUAUAUCUUAUGACUGUUCUUUUACACUCUUUUUUAGAUAUUUUAUAUUUUAUAUUUUUUUCUUAUUUUUUAUAAUUUUGUCAAACUUUAAAACAUCAUCUUUUAGUAAAAAAUAUACUAAUAUCUUUAUGUUAUACUUAUAUCUUUAGUCUCAUCAAGAAUCUCCUUAUUAGACUCCUAAUCUUAUUAGCCAUAGUAAUCCAAAUAAUAUUCAUAUUAUUCUCAGUAGGUUCUAAGUCUUCUCACAUUUCAUCUAACUUUUAAAAUUAUUUACAUUAUUAUUUUUAAAACUUCAUCAUCUAGCCUUAGUAAUUUUUUUCUACUAUUUUUUUCUUCCAUUUUCUAUAGUAAAUAUCUAAUAUUAUCAACCUAUAUUGAUUAAUUAAACUUCGUAUAACUUAACCAUUCUUAUAAAUAUAUUUAUCUACUUUUUUAGUGAGAAAAAAACAUAUUUGACUACAGAUGUGCCAACUCUUAUAAAUAAUCAAAUGUUCAUAUAUCUUCUUAAAAUAUAUAUAUUUACAAUUAUAAGAUUAUACAAAAUUAUAAAAUCUAAAAUCACACCAUCAUCUUCAUUUUUCUCCAUAGACACCUCUUUAUAUUCACCGUAUUUUUUUAAGAUAUGAUGAUUCAAAUCUCCUAUAAUUAUAAGUUUUUUAAUUAUAGAUUUUUUUAAAUAAUAUUGUCUAAGCAUUCUCGAAAUUUUCUUUUGGUUUGAUCAUUCAAUCUAACUUAAUGGUCAUAAACACUAAUUAUAUUUAAAAUAUCUUAUUGUUUCAUAAAUUUUAUAAUUAUAUUUCUAACUCUAAUUUUUUUACGGUAUUAUUCUUAAGAUUCUUAUCGAUAACAAUUCUUAUACCAUUUUUUAUGUUUAACUUUUUCAGUAUACUAAAUUUUAUUUUUCUUUCGAUGAUAGUGUUUACUGUUUUUAAUCUCUUUACCGUAAGUAUUCUUAUAUUCUAAGUUGCUAACCAACUCUUAUUUUUAGACUAACUUUUUUAUUCUUAUUAUUCCAAAAUAAUGAGAGAAUCCCUAGUCACCUUUUAAUCCAUCAUUUAUAAUUCAAGAUAUUUAGAUGAUAAUGAUAUAUAUAUAUAUAUAUAUAUAUAUUAUUAUGCAAUAUCUCACUCUUCCAAAUAUGACAUAUUUUCUCGGAUCAAUUACGAGAGCCAUUGCUGCUUCCAUGGUGGUGUUCCAACUAUUAACUUGAUGAGCUCAGGAUGAUGGCCUACAUCACACCUGUCGAUGACCAACUGAUGAUGAGCCAUUGGUGCAUCCAUGGUCUUCCAACUUACUGUGAUUUGCCGCAGACUGAUAGGUAAUUAAUUACUUACUGUGCCAAGUUGUGGGGGUUCUCUCAUCAGUAGGUAAUAAAUCCAUGAGUAGACGUUUAAAAAACAAUUAAAAAUAUUUUUAAUUAUUUAAAAUCUUGUGUAUAUAUAUAUAAAUUAAUUUUUCAUUAUGUUUUAAUUUUAAAAUUAAAAUUAAUUUUAAAUAGGGUGUUUGAGUGGAAAAGGUGAGGAUCUAUAUUUAGAAAAUUAUACACAUCUUUUUUCAUGGUUAUAGUGUGACACCUUCAUCAAAUUACUUUGAGCUUAUUCAAAAAUAUUAUAACUAAUAAAAAUAUUGGUUUCAAAUAAAAGGUUUGAUUUCGAAAUAAAAAACACACUAUAAACAGAUUUGAAUAGCUUUUUUAUUAUAUCAAUCAUAUAAAAACAGUUUUGGAAAGAAAAAUUAGACUGUCGUAUCAUUUUAGGGUUAUUAUGAGAUUUAUAAAAACUCUUGGAAAAUAUCUUACUAAUAAACCCAUAGUCCUUAGUUUGUGCUGUCACAACUUGGGCCGGAUUCAAUUCACCCAAAACGAUCCAAUCUAAUAAUAAACCCAUACUAAUAACCCAAUUUUCAUAACAUGUUGACUCCUAAGAUCCUACGAAUCCAUAGCCGAUGACACCCAUGCUAGUGCUUACAAUAGUUGACUGCUAUCCAUGCCACAUUUACAAAUCAUACCACAUUUACAAAUUUAUCAAAGAAAUAAAACUGUAAAUUAAAUCAUACCACAUUUACAAAUUUAUCAAAGAAAUAAAACUGUAAAUUAAAUCAUACCACAUUUACAAAUUUAUCAAAGAAAUAAACUAUAUUACUCACCAUUUCCACAAUUUAUAUGCAUAAAACAGAGACGCUUUGAUAACUAAACAAACAGAGAAGACACUUUAUUCAAUGCCAAACAAAAACCAGAUCGUCUCAAGUGUGCCAAAGCCAUAAGUUCAUACGUAGUCUCCAUCACGACACCAAGCCGCCGACCAGAGCCCAGAAACAAAAGUACCUUCUCCAAGCAUAGAUGAUAGAUCAGUGUGCGGCAGUAGCGACAUUGUCGCCGAAGACGCGUGCCAUCCUCUCCGUGGGGACGAGGGGGAGGUAGGCGGAGACGGCGUAGCCCUUCUCGGCGGAGGAGGAGACGGCUUGGUUGUACUUCUCGGAGAGGUGGGCAGCGGUGGGGACGACGACCUGGGCCACCUGGGGAACCAGUGGGAGGCGGUUCAGAGAGCGCCAGGCCGAGGCCGCGGCCUGCUCCGCUGCCGGCUCGUACUUGGCAUACAGCUCCUUGGCCGCCGGCUCGUACUUGGCGUAGACGGAGCGGACCAGGCCGGCGGCAGAUCCGACCAGUCCGGCCCGCUGGACCUCGCCCGCCGCGGACCGGGCCGCCGACGAGGCCUCCUUCACUACCGAUGGGACGCGACGAUCCAGCUCCUGCACGGUAACUUCAACCUGUUUCACGUGACCACCGCCGAUGAUUAGAGAGAACGGUUAGUUGCUUUGAUUUUACGCAAGAAAUAGAUGCGAAGGAAACUUUCGUCGGAGACCCCGAGCGAGGCUAACGUACGCCACCGGUCCCGGCUACGAUGCGCCGGAUGCCAGUGCUAUUCUGCUCCACCAUGGAUGAACGAAGCGGCCGACGGAGCCUGGAGGGUCCGGUCCCAUCCUGGGCACAGCCAGCGCCAUGGAAGCCAGCGGGAAGAAGGAAACGGGUCCAAUCCAUGGCAACGUGAACGACAUAAAGGAGAAGAAGAGGCUCCUGGAAGCCGCAAGAAAGGAGGAGGAGGAGAGAGAGAGAGAGAGAGAGGAUCCAAUCCUACGAUGCGCAGGUCGCCCGUGCUAUCCUGCGCCACCGAAGCGGACAACAGAGACCGGAGGGGUCAUCCCGAUACUGGGCUAACGUAGGCCGAUGGAGAGAAAGGAAAUCGAUACAACCUAUGGCAACGUCGUCGGGGGGACAAAGGAGAAGAAGAGGGACCUGGAAGCCGCAAAAGAAGAGAGAGAGAGGGCGUGGCCGGUGGAACGAACCUUU